GUAAGUAGCGCAGAUAAUUCUCUUCCCACGGAUGUUGCAGCUACUCUCUCGGAUAUUUUCUUUUUAAUAGAGCAAAAAUAAUUCCCUGCUUUAAAGAAGAAAAAAAAGCCUUCUCAGUGUCCCCAAAAAUAAUCCAUAACCAAUCUAUAAGUGAAAAUUUGGGUGAGUUUAUUCUGAGCCAAAAUCUGAGGACCACGGCCCAGGGCCUUUCUUCCCAAAGGAAGGGCACCAAAGAAGUGGGGUGUACAGAGUGGUUAUAUACCCCCAAAGAGGAUGUUUCACAUAUGAUUCAAAUGUCCGGAGACUGCUCUCGGCAUAGUGAUUGAUGGACACAGCAGGUAGGUCUGCUGUCUCCGUAGACACAGCAGGAUGGCAGGUCUGUUGUCUCCAGCUGGGUGGUCACAGGAAUAUUAGCCCUGAGCUAACUGUUGCCAAUCCUCCUCUUUUUGCUGAGG
rnacentral:lncRNA from 1 species